AUCUCCAGUUUCCUUGACCUGCUGCUGAGUGGGCCGGCAGGGGAGCAGCCUGAGGGACACCCUUUACUUUGCUUUCAGAAUGCUUCCCCGGCAAGGACGUCUCCAGCCCAGGCGUCUCCAGCCCGGGGGUCCCCAGCCCAUGCGUCCCCGGCCCGGGCAUCACCUUCCAGGUCAUCAUCUGGCAGGUCAUCAUCUGCCGGGUCGCCCUCCACAACAUCCUCUCCGACAAGAGCAUGCCUUGUUAAAGCAACACCAGUGGGGGCUGUACCUGUCCGGGCAUCUCCUGCCAGGUCAGCACCAGCCGCCAGGGCCACUGGGGAGAACCCAGGUAUCAGCUUUCACAAGUUCACCUGGCAGGAGGGCCAGAAACGGCUGCCGCUCAUCGGAUGUAUCCUCCUCCUCAUUGUCCUCGUGGCGUCGCUCAUCCUUCUAUUCUACUUCUGGCGGGGCCACACAGGGAUCAAGUACAAGGAGCCAGAAGAGAGCUGCCCCAAGCACUCGGUGCGCUGUGAUGGGGUGGUGGACUGCAAGCUGAAGAGCGACGAGCUGGGCUGUGUGAGGUUCGACUGGGACAAGUCUCUGCUGAAAGUCUACUCUGGGUCCUCCCAUCGGUGGCUUCCCGUCUGCAGCGAUAGCUGGAAUGACUCCUACUCGACGAAGACCUGCCGGCAGCUGGGUUUCGAGAGUGCUUACUGGACAACCGAGGUGGGCCACAGGGAUUUUGCCAGCAGCUUCUCAGUCUCCAAAUACAAUUCCACCAUCCAGGAAAGCCUCUACAGGUCUGAAUGCCCUUCCCAGCGGUAUGUCUCUCUCCAGUGUGCCCACUGUGGACUGAGGGCCAUGACCGGGCGGAUCGUGGGAGGGGCGCUGGCCCCAGAGAGCAAGUGGCCCUGGCAAGUUAGUCUGCACUAUGGCACCACCCACGUUUGUGGGGGAACACUGAUCGACGCCCAGUGGGUGCUCACGGCUGCCCACUGCUUCUUUGUGACCCGGGAGAAGAUUCUGGAGGGCUGGAAGGUGUAUGUGGGCACCAACAACCUGCACCAGCUGCCUGAGGCAGCCUCCAUCUCCCAGAUCAUCAUCAACGGCAACUACACAGACGAGCAGGACGACUAUGACAUUGCCCUCAUGCGGCUCUCCAAGCCCCUGACCCUGUCUGCUCACGUCCACCCUGCCUGCCUCCCCAUGCACGGACAGACCUUCAGCCUCAACGAGACCUGCUGGAUCACAGGCUUUGGCAAGACCAAGGAGACAGAUGAGAAGACAUCCCCUUUCCUCCGCGAGGUGCAGGUCGGCCUCAUCGACUUCAAGAAGUGCAACGACUACUUGAUCUAUGACAGUUACCUUACCCCGAGGAUGAUGUGUGCUGGGGACCUUCGAGGAGGCAGAGACUCCUGCCAGGGAGACAGCGGGGGGCCCCUGGUCUGCGAGCAGAACAACCGCUGGUACCUGGCGGGAGUCACCAGCUGGGGCACGGGCUGUGGCCAGAGAAACAAACCCGGUGUUUACACCAAAGUGACAGAAGUCCUUCCCUGGAUAUACAGCAAGAUGGAGGUGAGAGCCCUGCCUGGGGCCACCGAGCAGGCUGGGAACUCCCAAAGGUGGGGUGCCUGGAAGAGGGCCCAGGCUUUCCCCAGGGUCUCAGAAGAGGUCCUCUCUCCCCUUCAUGUUUGGGGGUGAUCAGAAAGUGCGGAAGACCAAGGACAGGACAGAAGUCGAAUGUUGGGCCAACCCCAGCUGCCUGAGUUCCUGCCCCUCCUUUUCCUCCUUUUCCUUGGAGGGUCGGAAAAGGGCGGGCCUAGGCUGGGUGGCGGCCCCAGUAUCACUGUCCUCUCCCCAGUGGUAGCCAAGCUGUGGGGUCACACAGGCCACUGAGACUAGGGGGCCUCUCCUCCUUAGCAGAAGCUGGUCUCAUGGGGAACUGGGCAUCAGGAGACGAGGACCCACCCCAACUCUUGCUGACCCAGCUUGGCCCCUGCCUUCCCUGGGCCUACCGUCGAGCAGGAAUGCUGUGCCUGCCCUUCCCUUCUCUGCCUGGCCAGGGCGGAAGAGUAGAGAGAGCUCAGGUGGGGACAGGGGAGGCUGCUCCAGAAAUCCUGUGUGACGGCUCUCCCAGAAACUGCCUCUGUCUUUUCCCUUUCAUUACCUCUCUUCUCCGAGGGGCAGUUCCAGGUGACAGCAGGGCUGAAUUUUAGGCUCUGAACCCCCGCCUUCAGCGUCUGUGUUCCUAGCCCGACCUCACCCUCUUCUCCCUCUGUUCUUCCUCAGAAUGAGGUGCGCUUCCGGAAAUCCUAAGCAGCUGUCCUACUCUUCCACUCAGCUCUGGCUGCUGGAAAGACUCUGCCAAAGUGACUGGGCCAUUGGCAACAUCAUCUGGGCUAAAGGCCACCAGACACCUUUGUUACUGCCACCUCCACUGUCUGCUGCUUCUGUGAAUAUGCACGUGUGUGUGUGCGCGCGUGCGUGCAUGUGUGUGCGUGCGUGUGUGUGCACGUGUGUGUGUGUGUGCGUGCGUGUGUGUGUGCGUGUGUGUGCUGCUGUUCUCCCAAGGUCUUAAGAAACCAGGAGAACUGUUAGCUCUUCCCAAAGCCCAGGCUGGAAAUCACCUGGAGAUAACAGUCUGGGCACCGCGGAGGUCCCUACAGGAGUGUCCGUGAUGGAUGGAGGAGGCAGAGCCCAG
rnacentral:lncRNA from 1 species